CUUCUAAACAUUUAAUAACUUCUACUUGAAGAAACGUAGCUAAUCUCCAUAUUGUUACAACAAUAACAUGAGCCAACAGUACUUAGAGUCAAAGUUUACUAAAAUUAACUAAAAUCGUAGAAUAGCUGUUAUCGUAAUUGAAUACCUAUGCUACGGACCAGCGGGUAUGUGCAUUAUUUUAACAUCGAGACGAGGCUAUAGGGUCAUGUUUUGUGUUUUUUGACCCUUUAGCCUCGUUUCCGUUCGCAUGUAUACCUACAAAAUGCUUGUCACUAAGGGACGGACCAUUAUUUUUUUGCGGGGGGGGGAUGGAAGAUUCUUUAAAAAAUGUUUGCAAAGACAAAAAAGUGCAAAUAAAUUGUUUGCACACAUAGAGAAGAGGAAAAACAUAGUUUGCAAGCUAAUGAGAUUAUGCAACAUCAACCAAGGUUUAAUACGCAUGCAAACAGACAUUUAAUAGUUUUUCAAGUAUAUUUAUAAACAAAAACAUUUAAUAUACUUUUUUAAUACGUUUAACAAUUUCAAAUUGACUGUAUUCAAUAGAUUAAUAUUUAUAACCCAUAUGUAGAUUGCGACAUGUGCCCAGCGUCUCCCACUCCCAGGACUUUUGGGGUAAAGACCCUGGGUAUGUCUGUUCAUUGUUAUUAAAUUUAUACUUCUAACACCACAUGUUGUUCACACAUGCGAUAGCGCAUGUAAUCUGGCACAAAUUAAACUACAAUCUUGGCCAUAAACCGUAGGACAAUGAUAAAUUUUGUGCAUUUUUA